UGAGGGAUAUUGGUCAAUGGGGGAAACCCUGAACCAGCGACGCCGCGUGAGGGAAGACGGUUUUCGGAUUGUAAACCUCUGUCUUUGGGGACGAAUAAAUGACGGUACCCAAGGAGGAAGCCACGGCUAACUACGUGCCAGCAGCCGCGGUAAUACGUAGGUGGCAAGCGUUGUCCGGAAUUACUGGGUGUAAAGGGAGUGUAGGCGGGAAAAUAAGUUGAAUGUUAAAUCUAUCGGCUCAACCGAUAGCUGCGUUCAAAACUGUUUUUCUUGAGUGAAGUAGAGGCAGGCGGAAUUCCUAGUGUAGCGGUGAAAUGCGUAGAUAUUAGGAGGAACACCAGUGGCGAAGGCGGCCUGCUGGACUGUAACUGACGCUGAGGAACGAAAGCGUGGGGAGCAAACAGG
rnacentral:rRNA from 2 species